AGCAGAAGCUGGGAAUAGAGAUGGGCUUAUACCAACAGAAACACUGCCAGAUGGGACUAAAGAGGACAGAAAAAUUGAGAUGAAAGGAAGACCACCAGACUUCUUAUAUCCUAUGGAGAAGGACCAUAGAGUUCUUCAGCUGUGAACAUGCACUAUUCUUUCAGAAAGGGAAGAAUGACUCUGAAGUUUCUUCAUGGAUUUAAAAGGAGCUUCAUCUUUAUUCUGCACAUGGUUUCCCUGCUGAGUCACUCUCAGGCUCUUCUUGACCUUCAAAUCACGAGGAUUUGUACUGCUUGCUUGGAAGGAAUUUUAACAGGACUGAUGAAAUUAAGAAGAUGACUUGAUAAAACUCACCAGGUAGCUUAGAUGUUUAGGACCAAUUGAGAGACACAAGAAGCAGAAAGGCGGAGAUGAAAAAAGUAUCUGUUUUGCCUGGCUGGUGUGGCUCAGCAAUUGAGCAUCGACCCAGGAACCAAGAGAUCCCCGGUUCGAUUCCUAGUCAGGGCACAUGCCCAGGUUGCAGGCUCAAUCCCCAGUGGAGGCCAUGCAGGAGACAGAAUUACCAACUGAUCCAGGAGUGGGGAAAGAAGCCAAGAGAGUUAUUCUAACAGAAGUACUCCCAAAUGGAAACACGGAGAGAACAGAAUGGAGGACUCCAAUCCCUUCCCACCGCUGCUUAAAAAGGAGAGUAUGACAGAGACAUGAUUAAUCAAGUUAUCAUGAAUGCAUUUCCAGCGUCCCUGCUUUGAAAUCCUGGUUUUACCACUUCUUGGCUCAGUCUCCUCAAUUGGAAUAAGUUAAUUAUACCACUUUUCAGGGUCAUUGUAAUCAUUGCCAAUAAUGUAUGGAAAGUGCCUUGCAUAGUGCCUAGCAUUUAGCAAUUGUUUCUCAA